UUAAGUUAUUAAGGGCGCACGGUGGAUGCCUUGGCACUAGAAGCCGAUGAAGGACGUUACUAACGACGAUAUGCUUUGGGGAGCUGUAAGUAAGCUUUGAUCCAGAGAUUUCCGAAUGGGGAAACCCAGCAUGAGUUAUGUCAUGUUAUCGAUAUGUGAAUACAUAGCAUAUCAGAAGGCACACCCGGAGAACUGAAACAUCUUAGUACCCGGAGGAAGAGAAAGAAAAUUCGAUUCCCUUAGUAGCGGCGAGCGAAACGGGAAGAGCCCAAACCAACAAGCUUGCUUGUUGGGGUUGUAGGACACUCUAUACGGAGUUACAAAGGACGACAUUAGACGAAUCAUCUGGAAAGAUGAAUCAAAGAAGGUAAUAAUCCUGUAGUCGAAAAUGUUGUCUCUCUUGAGUGGAUCCUGAGUACGACGGAGCACGUGAAAUUCCGUCGGAAUCUGGGAGGACCAUCUCCUAAGGCUAAAUACUCUCUAGUGACCGAUAGUGAACCAGUACCGUGAGGGAAAGGUGAAAAGCACCCCGGAAGGGGAGUGAAAUAGAACCUGAAACCGUGUGCUUACAAGUAGUCAGAGCCCGUUAAUGGGUGAUGGCGUGCCUUUUGUAGAAUGAACCGGCGAGUUACGAUUUGAUGCAAGGUUAAGCAGUAAAUGUGGAGCCGUAGCGAAAGCGAGUCUGAAUAGGGCGUUUAGUAUUUGGUCGUAGACCCGAAACCAGGUGAUCUACCCUUGGUCAGGUUGAAGUUCAGGUAACACUGAAUGGAGGACCGAACCGACUUACGUUGAAAAGUGAGCGGAUGAACUGAGGGUAGCGGAGAAAUUCCAAUCGAACCUGGAGAUAGCUGGUUCUCUCCGAAAUAGCUUUAGGGCUAGCCUCAAGUGAUGAUUAUUGGAGGUAGAGCACUGUUUGGACGAGGGGCCCCUCUCGGGUUACCGAAUUCAGACAAACUCCGAAUGCCAAUUAAUUUAACUUGGGAGUCAGAACAUGGGUGAUAAGGUCCGUGUUCGAAAGGGAAACAGCCCAGACCACCAGCUAAGGUCCCAAAAUAUAUGUUAAGUGGAAAAGGAUGUGGCGUUGCCCAGACAACUAGGAUGUUUGGCUUAGAAGCAGCCAUCAUUUAAAGAGUGCGUAAUAGCUCACUAGUCGAGUGACACUGCGCCGAAAAUGUACCGGGGCUAAACAUAUUACCGAAGCUGUGGAUUGUCCUUUGGACAAUGGUAGGAGAGCGUUCUAAGGGCGUUGAAGCAUGAUCGUAAGGACAUGUGGAGCGCUUAGAAGUGAGAAUGCCGGUGUGAGUAGCGAAAGACGGGUGAGAAUCCCGUCCACCGAUUGACUAAGGUUUCCAGAGGAAGGCUCGUCCGCUCUGGGUUAGUCGGGUCCUAAGCUGAGGCCGACAGGCGUAGGCGAUGGAUAACAGGUUGAUAUUCCUGUACCACCUAUAAUCGUUUUAAUCGAUGGGGGGACGCAGUAGGAUAGGCGAAGCGUGCGAUUGGAUUGCACGUCUAAGCAGUAAGGCUGAGUAUUAGGCAAAUCCGGUACUCGUUAAGGCUGAGCUGUGAUGGGGAGAAGACAUUGAGUCUUCGAGUCGUUGAUUUCACACUGCCGAGAAAAGCCUCUAGAUAGAAAAUAGGUGCCCGUACCGCAAACCGACACAGGUAGUCAAGAUGAGAAUUCUAAGGUGAGCGAGCGAACUCUCGUUAAGGAACUCGGCAAAAUGACCCCGUAACUUCGGGAGAAGGGGUGCUCUUUAGGGUUAACGCCCAGAAGAGCCGCAGUGAAUAGGCCCAAGCGACUGUUUAUCAAAAACACAGGUCUCUGCUAAACCGUAAGGUGAUGUAUAGGGGCUGACGCCUGCCCGGUGCUGGAAGGUUAAGAGGAGUGGUUAGCUUCUGCGAAGCUACGAAUCGAAGCCCCAGUAAACGGCGGCCGUAACUAUAACGGUCCUAAGGUAGCGAAAUUCCUUGUCGGGUAAGUUCCGACCCGCACGAAAGGCGUAACGAUUUGGGCACUGUCUCAACGAGAGACUCGGUGAAAUCAUAGUACCUGUGAAGAUGCAGGUUACCCGCGACAGGACGGAAAGACCCCGUGGAGCUUUACUGUAGCCUGAUAUUGAAAUUCGGCACAGCUUGUACAGGAUAGGUAGGAGCCUUUGAAACGUGAGCGCUAGCUUACGUGGAGGCGCUGGUGGGAUACUACCCUAGCUGUGUUGGCUUUCUAACCCACACCACUUAUCGUGGUGGGAGACAGUGUCAGGCGGGCAGUUUGACUGGGGCGGUCGCCUCCUAAAAGGUAACGGAGGCGCUCAAAGGUUCCCUCAGAAUGGUUGGAAAUCAUUCAUAGAGUGUAAAGGCAUAAGGGAGCUUGACUGCGAGACCUACAAGUCGAGCAGGGUCGAAAGACGGACUUAGUGAUCCGGUGGUUCCGCAUGGAAGGGCCAUCGCUCAACGGAUAAAAGCUACCCCGGGGAUAACAGGCUUAUCUCCCCCAAGAGUUCACAUCGACGGGGAGGUUUGGCACCUCGAUGUCGGCUCAUCGCAUCCUGGGGCUGUAGUCGGUCCCAAGGGUUGGGCUGUUCGCCCAUUAAAGCGGUACGCGAGCUGGGUUCAGAACGUCGUGAGACAGUUCGGUCCCUAUCCGUCGUGGGCGUAGGAAAUUUGAGAGGAGCUGUCCUUAGUACGAGAGGACCGGGAUGGACAUACCUCUGGUGUACCAGUUGUCGUGCCAACGGCAUAGCUGGGUAGCUAUGUGUGGACGGGAUAAGUGCUGAAAGCAUCUAAGCAUGAAGCCCCCCUCAAGAUGAGAUUUCCCAACUUCGGUUAUAAGAUCCCUCAAAGAUGAUGAGGUUAAUAGGUUCGAGGUGGAAGCAUGGUGACAUGUGGAGCUGACGAAUACUAAUCGAUCGAAGACUUAAUCAA
rnacentral:rRNA from 1 species